GACGAACGCUGGCGGCAUGCCUAAUACAUGCAAGUCGAGCGAACGGAUGAAGUGCUUGCACUUCUGACGUUAGCGGCGAACGGGUGAGUAACACGUAAGGAAUCUACCUAUAAGCGGGGGAUAACAUUCGGAAACGGGUGCUAAUACCGCAUAAUAUCUUCUUCCGCAUGGAAGAAGAUUGAAAGACGGCUCUGCUGUCACUUAUAGAUGACCUUGCGGUGCAUUAGUUAGUUGGUGGGGUAAUGGCCUACCAAGACGAUGGUGCAUAGCCGACCUGAGAGGGUGAUCGGCCACAUUGGGACUGAGACACGGCCCAAACUCCUACGGGAGGCAGCAGUAGGGAGUCUUCCGCAAUGGGCGAAAGCCUGACGGAGCAAUGCCGCGUGAGUGAAGAAGGCCUUCGGGUCGUAAAACUCUGUUAUAAGAGAAGAACAAAUUGUAGAGUAACUGCUACAGUCUUGACGGUAUCUUAUCAGAAAGCCACGGCUAACUACGUGCCAGCAGCCGCGGUAA
rnacentral:rRNA from 1 species